rfam:Rhodospirillaceae bacterium BRH_c57 BRHa_1007414, whole genome shotgun sequence.
UCUCAAGCGUGAGAAGGGCAUCUGGUGGAUGCCUUGGCACUCAGAGGCGAUGAAGGACGUGGCACCCUGCGAAAAGCUUCGGGGAGAUGGGAGCAAUCUUUGAUCCGAAGAUAUCCGAAUGGGGAAACCCACCGCUUAGGCGGUAUCCCUGGCUGAAUACAUAGGCCAGGGAAGCGAACCCGGGGAACUGAAACAUCUAAGUACCCGGAGGAAAGGAAAUCAACCGAGACUCCGCUAGUAGUGGCGAGCGAACGCGGACUAGCCCAGUGGCCCUUGUGUAAGAACCGGAAGCGUCUGGAAAGUCGCACCAAAGCGGGUGAUAGUCCCGUACGGGUAGAAAGCACUUGGGUCCUCGAGUAAGGCGGGACACGUGAAAUCCUGUCUGAACAUGGGGGGACCACCCUCCAAGGCUAAGUACUCCUGAGUGACCGAUAGUGAACCAGUACCGUGAGGGAAAGGUGAAAAGCACCCCGAUGAGGGGAGUGAAACAGUUCCUGAAACCGGAUGCCUACAAGCAGUAGGAGCACCCUUGAGGUGUGACUGCGUACCUUUUGUAUAAUGGGUCAGCGACUUACCGUGUCGUGCAAGCUUAAGCCGUUAGGUGUAGGCGAAGCGAAAGCGAGUCUGAAUAGGGCGUUCAGUUCGACGCGGUAGACCCGAAACCGGGUGAUCUAGCCAUGGCCAGGUUGAAGGUGGAGUAACACCCACUGGAGGACCGAACCCACGUCUGUUGAAAAAGACGGGGAUGAGCUGUGGCUAGGGGUGAAAGGCCAAUCAAACUCGGAAAUAGCUGGUUCUCCGCGAAAUCUAUUUAGGUAGAGCGUCGGAUGAAUACCACCGGGGGUAGAGCACUGGAUCGGGACGGGGGGCGCGAGCCUUACCAACUCGAACCAAACUCCGAAUACCGGUGAGUACUAUCCGGCAGACAGACGGCGGGUGCUAAGGUCCGUCGUCAAAAGGGAAACAGCCCAGAUCGCCAGCUAAGGUCCCCAAGUCACGGCUAAGUGGGAAAGGAUGUGGGACGGCCAAAACAACCAGGAGGUUGGCUUAGAAGCAGCCAUCCUUUAAAGAAAGCGUAACAGCUCACUGGUCUAAAUAAGCUGUCCUGCGCCGAAGAUGUACCGGGGCUCAAGCCGUGCACCGAAGCUGCGAGUCUAUCCUUCGGGAUAGGCGGUAGCGGAGCGUUCCGUAAGCCUGCGAAGGUGAACCGUGAGGUUUGCUGGAGGUAUCGGAAGUGAGAAUGCUGACAUGAGUAGCGAUAAACAGUGUGAGAAACACUGUCGCCGAAAGUCCAAGGGUUCCUGCGCAAGGCUAAUCCGCGCAGGGUGAGCCGGCCCCUAAGGCGAGGCUGAAAAGCGUAGUCGAUGGGAACCAGGUUAAUAUUCCUGGGCCAGAUGGAAGUGACGGUUUCCGUAAGUUGUCUCCCCUUAUCGGAUUGGGGGGGCGGCGAAGGAGGCCCUGGAAAUAACUCCAUCAUCAGACCGUACCCUAAACCGACACAGGUGGACUGGUAGAGAAUACCAAGGCGCUUGAGAGAAUGGUGUUGAAGGAACUAGGCAAAAUACCCUCGUAACUUCGGGAGAAGAGGGCCUCCCAUUUGGGCAACCAGAUGGGAGGGGCACAGACCAGGGGGUGGCGACUGUUUAUUAAAAACACAGGGCUCUGCGAAGUCGCAAGACGACGUAUAGGGUCUGACGCCUGCCCGGUGCCGGAAGGUUAAGAGGAGGGGUGCAAGCUCUGAAUUGAAGCCCCGGUAAACGGCGGCCGUAACUAUAACGGUCCUAAGGUAGCGAAAUUCCUUGUCGGGUAAGUUCCGACCUGCACGAAUGGCGUAACGACUUCCCCGCUGUCUCCAACACCAACUCAGCGAAAUUGAACUCUCCGUGAAGAUGCGGAGUUCCCGCGGUCAGACGGAAAGACCCCGUGCACCUUUACUACAGCUUCACAGUGGCACCAGAAAAUGGAUGUGUAGGAUAGGUGGGAGGCUAUGAACCCGAGGCGCUAGCUUCGGUGGAGCCAACCUUGAAAUACCACCCUUCUGUUUUUUGUUGUCUAACCGCGGUCCGUUAUCCGGAUCCGGGACCCUGUGUGGCGGGUAGUUUGACUGGGGCGGUCGCCUCCCAAAGAGUAACGGAGGCGCGCGAUGGUAAGCUCAGAGCGGUCGGAAAUCGCUCGAUGAGUGCAAGAGCAAAAGCUUGCCUGACUGCGACAUCGACAGAUGGAGCAGAGACGAAAGUCGGUUCUAGUGAUCCGGUGGUCCCGUGUGGAAGGGCCAUCGCUCAACGGAUAAAAGGUACGCCGGGGAUAACAGGCUGAUACUCCCCAAGAGUCCACAUCGACGGGAGUGUUUGGCACCUCGAUGUCGGCUCAUCUCAUCCUGGGGCUGGAGCAGGUCCCAAGGGUAUGGCUGUUCGCCAUUUAAAGAGGUACGUGAGCUGGGUUUAGAACGUCGUGAGACAGUUCGGUCCCUAUCUGCCGUGGGUGUAGGAUGUUUGAGAGGAUCUGUCCCUAGUACGAGAGGACCGGGAUGGACGUACCUCUGGUGUACCAGUUGUUCCGCCAGGAGCACCGCUGGGUAGCUAUGUACGGACGGGAUAACCGCUGAAAGCAUCUAAGCGGGAAACCUCCCUCAAAACCAGGCAUCCCUUGAGAGCCGUGGAAGACCACCACGUUGAUAGGCCGGGUGUGGAAGCGCAGUAAUGUGUGAAGCUAACCGGUACUAAUCGCUCGAUUGGCUUGAGAGC